rnacentral:tRNA from 1 species
GCGAGGGUGGCGAAACUGGCAGACGCGCAUGCUUGAGGGGCAUGUGGAUAAUUAUCCAUAGGGGUUCGAGUCCCCUCCUUCGCACCA